GUAGCAAUAUUUCCAAGUUGGCGUAGCGCAAGGGUGCGUAACACGUGGGUAAUUUGCCAUGAAGUUAGGAAUAACUCGCUGAAAGGCGAGACAAUACCGGAUGUGACUGUGAUGCGGCAUCGCGAUACAGUUAAAGUUGGGGACCGCAAGGCCUGACGCUUCAUGAUAAGCCCGCGGCCUAUCAGCUAGUUGGUGAGGUAACGGCCCACCAAGGCUAAGACGGGUAGCUGGUCUGAGAGGACGACCAGCCACACUGGAACUGAGACACGGUCCAGACACCUACGGGUGGCAGCAGUCGAGAAUUUUUCUCAAUGGGCGAAAGCUUGAAGGAGCGACGCCGCGUGGGGGAUGAAGGGCUUCGGCUCGUAAACCCCUGUCAUUUGCGAGCAAACCUUUCUGCUGAAUAGGCAGGAAGCUGAUAGUAGCGAAAGAGGAAGGGACGGCUAACUCUGUGCCAGCAGCCGCGGUAAUACAGAGGUCCCAAGCGUUGUUCGGAUUUACUGGGCGUAAAGGGUGCGUAGGCGGCGGGGCAAGUUUGAUGUGAAAUCUCCGAGCUUAACUCGGAAACUGCAUUGAAUACUGCCUUGCUAGAGGGUCGAAGGGGAGACUGGAAUUCUCGGUGUAGCGGUGAAAUGCGUAGAUAUCGAGAGGAACGCCAGUGGCGAAAGCGAGUCUCUGGACGACCCCUGACGCUGAGGCACGAAAGCUAGGGGAGCAAACAGGAUUAGAUACCCUGGUAGUCCUAGCCGUAAACGGUGCACAUUUGCCGUGAAAGGAAUCGACCCCUUCCGUGGCGAAGCUAACGCGUUAAAUGUGCCGCCUGGGAAGUACGGUCGCAAGAUUAAAACUCAAAGAAAUUGACGGGGGCCUGCACAAGCGGUGGAGUAUGUGGCUUAAUUCGAUGCAACGCGAAGAACCUUACCUGGCCUUGACAUGUGGGUAGUAGGAGGAUGAAAGUCUAACGAUCCCGCAAGGGAAGCCUACACAGGUGCUGCAUGGCUGUCGUCAGCUCGUGUCGUGAGAUGUUGGGUUAAGUCCCGCAACGAGCGCAACCCCUGUGUCCUGUUGCCACCCGGACGAGAGUUCGGAGCACUCUGGACAGACUGCCUCGCUUAAACGAGGAGGAAGGUGGGGAUGACGUCAAGUCAGGAUGGCCCUUACGGCCAGGGCUGCACACGUACUACAAUGCCCGGUACAAUGGGUUGCAAUACCGCAAGGUGGAGCUAAUCCUCAAAACUGGGCCCA
rnacentral:rRNA from 1 species